rnacentral:rRNA from 1 species
UACGAAGGGGGGCUAGCGUUGCUCGGAAUCACUGGGCGUAAAGGGUGCGUAGGCGGGUCUUUUAAGUCAGGGGUGAAAUCCUGGAGCUCAACUCCAGAACUGCCUUUGAUACUGAAGAUCUUGAGUUCGGGAGAGGUGAGUGGAACUGCGAGUGUAGAGGUGAAAUUCGUAGAUAUUCGCAAGAACACCAGUGGCGAAGGCGGCUCACUGGCCCGAUACUGACGCUGAGGCACGAAAGCAUGGGGAGCAAACAGG